ACUCUCAUUGUAGAUGAAAAGGGGCAGUGUUAGUCAGUGUCCAGAAUUGCUCAAUGUGGCUAAACUGAAACACAGGUCAUGCUUCCAUAACACAAAAGGCAUCGUAGUGGUGACAGUGAAACCUGUAACAUUG